rnacentral:lncRNA from 1 species
GAACUUUGAAAUAAGACUUUGGGGGACUGUGGGAAGCAUAAUGGGUUUUGAAAUAUGAGGACAUGAGAUUUGGGAGGGACCAGGGACAGAAUGAUAUGGUUAGGAUCUGGGUCCUCACCCAAAUCUCAUCUUGAAUUGUAAUCCCCCAUAAUCCCCAUGUGUUGAGAGUGGGACCUGGUGGGAGGUGACGAGAUCAUGGGGGUGGUUUCCCCCAUGCUGUUCUCAUAGUAGUGAGUGAGUUCUCAUGAGAUCUGAUGGUUUUAUAAGGGCCUCUUCCCCCUUGGCUCUGCAUUUCUCUCUCCUGCCACCUUAUGAAGAUGGAUGUGUUUGCUUCCAUUUUCACCAUUAUUGUAUGUUUCCUGAGGCCUCCCCAGCCAUGCGGAAAUGUCAGUUAAUUGAACCUAUUUCUAUAUUACUCAGUCUCAGGUAUAAUUUUUAUAGCAGUAUGAAAACAGACUAAUAGAGUAAAUGUUUAAAAGGGGAGCAGAGCAUAAAAGUUUAGAAAUUUCACAGCCUGACUAACAAUGUAGUAGAAAAGAAAAACCCAUUUUCCAGUGAGAAAUUAAAGGCAGC